rnacentral:rRNA from 1 species
AACGAACGCUGGCGGCAGGCCUAACACAUGCAAGUCGAGCGCGCCCUUCGGGGUGAGCGGCGGACGGGUGAGUAACGCGUGGGAACGUGCCCUUUUCUACGGAAUAGCCUCGGGAAACUUAGAGUAAUAACGUAUACGCCCUUUGGGGGAAAGAUUUAUCGGAAAAGGAUCGGCCCGCGUUGGAUUAGGUAGUUGGUGGGGUAAUGGCCUACCAAGCCGACGUUGCCGAGCUGGUUGGAGAGGAGGAUCAGCCACGCUGGGACUGCGACCCGGCCCAGACUGCGACGGAAGGGAGGAGUAGGGAAUCUUAGACGAUGGAGCCAAAUCUGGCAACGCCACGCCGGGUAUGUGAUGCAGGCCUUAGUGUUGUAAAGCUCUCUGAGCUGGGAAGAUAAUGACGGUACCAGCUAAAGAAGCCCCGGCUAACUACGUG